UCUCUGCUGGCUCAGUCAGUAAAGAAUCUGCCUGCUAUGCAGGAGACCCGGGUUCGAUCCCUGGGUCAGGAA
rnacentral:tRNA from 1 species